rnacentral:tRNA from 1 species
GAGAGUAUAGCUCAGUGGUAGAGCGUGUGCUUAGCAUGCACAAGGUCCUGGGUUCAAUCCCCAGUAUCUCCA